rnacentral:rRNA from 1 species
AACAAAAACAUGUCCUUUAGAAUAUAAUUUAAGGUCUAACCUGCCCAAUGAUUAUUAUUUAAUGGCCGCAGUAUUUUGACUGUGCAAAGGUAGCAUAAUCAUUAGUUUUUUAAUUGAAAGCUUGUAUGAAUGGUUGGACGAGAAAAAAUCUGUCUUUGAUUAAUUAAAUGAAUUUAAUUUUUUAGUAAAAAAGCUAAAAUUAUUUUAAAAGACGAGAAGACCCUAUAGAUCUUUAUAUUAAUUUAGUUAAAUUUAAUAAAGAAUUUUUUUAAGUUUAUUUUUAAAAAUAUUUUAUUGGGGUAAUAAAAAGAUUAAUUAAAUUCUUUUAUUUUUUUAUCAUUAAAUAAUGAUUUUUUUAUCCUUUUUUAUGGAAAUUUGAUUAAGUUACCUUAGGGAUAACAGCGUAAUUUUUUUAGAGAGUUCAUAUCGAUAAAAAAGUUUGCGACCUCGAUGUUG